CAGGGAUUCUUUCAGAAAUUCCUCAAUGGAUAUUGUUACGUAAGAAAAGUUUUGUGAACCCCUGUACAUUGUCGGACUUUAUAUGUCGUGUAUGUCAUUCUUCGGUUUCUGUUUUGCACCCGUGCUGUCAAAAUAGAUCAAUGUAAAAGUAAUGAAAACAAAGAUGCAGCACGGGCGCAAAGGAACUAUUUUUUUGUUCCCAUUUGUAAACACCGAAGUUCUUUACAGCAUAGGCUAACCGAAUUGAUUUCGUGUUUCAUUGCCUUGCUAAAAGAUCGGUGCCCCUCGCUAGUGUUUUCAACACUGUAAAGAACUUCGAAAGUUCUUCAUUAUCUUGCCGAAGAUAACCUCAAUAAGGAGAUCGGAAUUCCUGGAGAAUGGUUUCCACGAUGCUAAAGGACAACGUAGACGCAUACAUCGGAGUGGUGCUUCCAUUGAAAGCUGGACGACGCGAAGAUAGCCGCUGUAGACCGUUUUACAAGCAAACAUAACUGCACCGUAGGGUCGUAAGCGGACUAUCGCUAAUGCAUGUCCUAAAGGUUUUCACAAUAAGUGCAAAAUUUCGGAAUAAUGUAGUUCGUUCAAUUUAGUUUAUGUUUAACCUACAGUUCUCACGUGAAUUCGUCUUAUCGUCUCGACAAAGGAGGUAAAACUUCGGCAUAAAUCUGACCCGAAGUGUUACGGGGGGGAGUGUUACGUAAGAAAAGUUUUGUGAACCCCUGUACAUUGUCGGACUUUAUAUGUCGUGUAUGCCAUUCUUCGGUUUCUGUUUUGCACCCGUGCUGUCAAAAUAGAUCAAUGUAAAAGUAAUGAAAACAAAGAUGCAGCACGGGCGCAAAGGAACUAUUUUUUUGUUCCCAUUUGUAAACACCGAAGUUCUUUACAGCAUAGGCUAACCGAAUUGAUUUCGUGUUUCAUUGCCUUGCUAAAAGAUCGGUGCCCCUCGCUAGUGUUUUCAACAGAUAUCUCAAAGAAUUCCUCCAGCAUU